rnacentral:rRNA from 1 species
UUAAGCGACUAAGCGUACACGGUGGAUGCCUAGGCAGUCAGAGGCGAUGAAGGGCGUGCUAAUCUGCGAAAAGCGUCGGUAAGGUGAUAUGAACCGUUACAACCGACGAUACCCGAAUGGGGAAACCCAGUGCAAUUCGUUGCACUAUUGCAUGGUGAAUACAUAGCCAUGCAAGGCGAACCGGGGGAACUGAAACAUCUAAGUACCCCGAGGAAAAGAAAUCAACCGAGAUUCCCCCAGUAGCGGCGAGCGAACGGGGAGGAGCCCAGAACCUGAAUCAGCAUAUGUGUUAGUGGAAGCGUCUGGAAAGUCGCACGGUACAGGGUGAUAGUCCCGUACACAAAAAUGCAUAUGUUGUGAGUUCGAUGAGUAGGGCGGGACACGUGACAUCCUGUCUGAAUAUGGGGGGACCAUCCUCCAAGGCUAAAUACUCCUGACUGACCGAUAGUGAACCAGUACCGUGAGGGAAAGGCGAAAAGAACCCCGGCGAGGGGAGUGAAAUAGAACCUGAAACCGUGUACGUACAAGCAGUGGGAGCACCUUCGUGGUGUGACUGCGUACCUUUUGUAUAAUGGGUCAGCGACUUAUAUUUUGUAGCAAGGUUAACCGAAUAGGGGAGCCGUAGGGAAACCGAGUCUUAACUGGGCGAAUAGUUGCAAGGUAUAGACCCGAAACCCGGUGAUCUAGCCAUGGGCAGGUUGAAGGUUGGGUAACACUAACUGGAGGACCGAACCGACUAAUGUUGAAAAAUUAGCGGAUGACUUGUGGCUGGGGGUGAAAGGCCAAUCAAACCGGGAGAUAGCUGGUUCUCCCCGAAAGCUAUUUAGGUAGCGCCUCGUGAACUCAUCUUCGGGGGUAGAGCACUGUUUCGGCUAGGGGGUCAUCCCGACUUACCAAACCGAUGCAAACUCCGAAUACCGAAGAAUGUUAUCACGGGAGACACACGGCGGGUGCUAACGUCCGUCGUGAAGAGGGAAACAACCCAGACCGCCAGCUAAGGUCCCAAAGUCAUGGUUAAGUGGGAAACGAUGUGGGAAGGCACAGACAGCCAGGAUGUUGGCUUAGAAGCAGCCAUCAUUUAAAGAAAGCGUAAUAGCUCACUGGUCGAGUCGGCCUGCGCGGAAGAUGUAACGGGGCUAAACCAUGCACCGAAGCUGCGGCAGCGACGCUUAGGCGUUGUUGGGUAGGGGAGCGUUCUGUAAGCCGUUGAAGGUGACCUGUGAGGGUUGCUGGAGGUAUCAGAAGUGCGAAUGCUGACAUAAGUAACGAUAAUGCGGGUGAAAAACCCGCACGCCGGAAGACCAAGGGUUCCUGUCCAACGUUAAUCGGGGCAGGGUGAGUCGACCCCUAAGGCGAGGCUGAAAAGCGUAGUCGAUGGGAAACAGGUUAAUAUUCCUGUACUUGGUGUUACUGCGAAGGGGGGACGGAGAAGGCUAGGCUAGCCGGGCGACGGUUGUCCCGGUUUAAGCAUGUAGGCGGAGUGACUUGGUAAAUCCGGUUGCUUAUCAACGCUGAGGUGUGAUGACGAGCCACUACGGUGGUGAAGUAGUUGAUGCCAAGCUUCCAGGAAAAGCCUCUAAGCAUCAGGUAACAUUAAAUCGUACCCCAAACCGACACAGGUGGUCAGGUAGAGAAUACUCAGGCGCUUGAGAGAACUCGGGUGAAGGAACUAGGCAAAAUGGUGCCGUAACUUCGGGAGAAGGCACGCUGGCAUUAGGUAAAGGGACUUGCUCCCGGAGCUGAAGCCAGUCGCAGAUACCAGCUGGCUGCAACUGUUUAAUAAAAACACAGCACUGUGCAAACACGAAAGUGGACGUAUACGGUGUGACGCCUGCCCGGUGCUGGAAGGUUAAUUGAUGGGGUCAGCCGCAAGGCGAAGCUCUUGAUCGAAGCCCCAGUAAACGGCGGCCGUAACUAUAACGGUCCUAAGGUAGCGAAAUUCCUUGUCGGGUAAGUUCCGACCUGCACGAAUGGCGUAAUGAUGGCCAGGCUGUCUCCACCCGAGACUCAGUGAAAUUGAACUC